ACAACUUGUCCAACACCACCUCUAAACAUGAGUACUUAGCGGGGGCCAAGACAAACUACCGGGCUCACCCUCAUAGACAAAACAUAACUAAAAAGAAAAAGUCUUAUACAUAGCAAAAGAUCAUGAGCAACGUCCCCGGAAUGGAGGACUCACCAAUAACCUUGAUAGGAAAUCGUAUUAGCCACGCGGAGGAGGAUGGUCAAGCGGUGCUCCGGUCCCUACAUGGUGACAUCAUGUAGGCAUAGAGUAUGCGUUAGUACAUUUGAAUGUACUAAGUAUAUGGGAUGCAAUGCAAUGCUACCAUAGAUGGACAUCGUAGGAAAAUGCAUAGUAAUACCCGUUAGAUAGCACAUUAAUGAAACGAUAUAUAUAUAAUGACGCUUACAUAAAAAUCAUAUUUAGUGGGACGUAGCACAAGUGUGGUGAGUGACCAUCAAUAUAGUAUUUCCAAGGCCUACCACCCCCUUGGAGAGGCGAAAGAGGUACAAACCCCUCAAUGUGGUUAUACGGGCCUACUACCCCCCGUACUUGGCAACCAAGGUACCAACCCCUCGAUACGGUUAUACGGGCCUACUACCCCCCGUACUAGGCAACCAAGGUACCAACCCCUCGAUACGGUUAUACGGGCCUACUACCCCCCGUACUAGGCAACCAAGGUACCAACCCCUCGAUACGGUUAUACGGGCCUACUACCCCCCGUACUAGGCAACCAAGGUACCAACCCCUCGAUACGGUUAUACGGGCCUACUACCCCCCGUACUAGGCAACCAAGGUACCAACCCCUCGAUACGGUUAUACGGGCCUACUACCCCCCGUACUAGGCAACCAAGGUACCAACCCCUCGAUACGGUUAUACGGGCCUACUACCCCCCGUACUAGGCAACCAAGGUACCAACCCCUCGAUACGGUUAUACGGGCCUACUACCCCCCGUACUAGGCAACCAAGGUACCAACCCCUCGAUACGGUUAUACGGGCCUACUACCCCCCGUACUAGGCAACCAAGGUACCAACCCCUCGAUACGGUUAUACGGGCCUACUACCCCCCGUACUAGGCAACCAAGGUACCAACCCCUCGAUACGGUUAUACGGGCCUACUACCCCCCGUACUAGGCAACCAAGGUACCAACCCCUCGAUACGGUUAUACGGGCCUACUACCCCCCGUACUAGGCAACCAAGGUACCAACCCCUCGAUACGGUUAUACGGGCCUACUACCCCCCGUACUAGGCAACCAAGGUACCAACCCCUCGAUACGGUUAUACGGGCCUACUACCCCCCGUACUAGGCUUGGUCGACUCACAACACGUAUAUAGAGAAAAUCAUAUACAUGUAUCCAUUUCAUCAUCAUUUCAAUACUUAUAUAAUCAUCCGACUCAUAGGACGUACAUUGGACCUUCCAUUUCAUAAGAAUUCUAUAAAUGGCAUUUUAUCAAACAUAUGGUGGGCUACUUGUUCAUGUAAAUAAAAUCAUGUGUUUCAAGAGUACUAAGUCCAACCAAUUUCAAAAUCCAUAUAAAACAGCCCACCAACAACAUACAUAUAUAUAUACAUAUAUAACAACCUUCAUAAUUUGAUCAUUGAGGCAUGAAAACCAUAAACAUCAUAUAAUCAUUCCAUUUCAUGAUAAUAUACAAAAAUAGACCAUAAUAGGAUGUGUAGUAAUAAUUCCAUAAUUCAAGAGUUCAUAAAUGAUCAUAAGGAUCCAUAAACUUAAAGUAAAAUAGAGGAUAAAUGGUUGGACUUGUGGAAAGGAAGGUUUCCACAAUCAACCCACAUACCUCAACUUUGGAGAAUUCUUGAUGAAGAUUGGAAUGGAGAAUUGCUUGAGAUUGAAUCUUGAAUCCGGAUUAAGCUUGGGAUCCUUGAAUUUGGUUGAUAAUCUUGGUGGAAUUUUUUGGAGAGGGUUUUAGAGAGGAGUUUUUGGAUGUUUUGAAGUUAAAUGACUAAGUAUGGAUAUGUCCCCUUUUUAUAAAAACGUCCCAACACUUAGAAAAAAAAUUGAGGCGGGUGAACAGUGUUUUCGGCUACUGGAAUUUGCAUUUUCUGCCGGACAGGUUUUACGAAAAUGGUCAUAACUCCUUCAUCCUAACUCGGAAUGAGGUGAAACAAAUUGAGUUGGAAAGCUAACUCACAGAGCUUUAAUUUUAAUAGUUUGAGCUCCUUCCAGUUCCUUGUGGGCUGAGAGAUAUGCCCAUUUAAAGUUGACCCUCAAAAUCGCAUGUUUUGCGAUUUUCAAAUUUUGAUACGGUUGUUCUAAAAUUCGGGUUAGACUCAUUUUCCACUCAAUUUGACCCCCUGAAUAAGAAUAUGAAGUCGAAUUUCCAAAAUCAUGCACGGAUUUUGAGAUAUAUGGAAAUUACAAUUAUAGGUGUUUCCGAAGCACAUUUUCGGGCAUUUUUGGGGUCUAGUUUCAAAUCCUAAACCCAAAAACCAAAACACUAAACCAUAAAUCCUAAACCCUAAGGCCUAACCUUAAACUCUACACGUGAAACCCUAAACACUAAACCAUAAACCAUAAACCCUAAAUACUAAAUCCUAAACCAUAAACCCUAAACACUAUAUCAUAAACCCUAAACUGUAAACCCUAAUAUCGAAACCCAUAAUACUUCACCCUAAACCUCAAACCCUAAUCCUAAAUCAUAAACCCUAAACCCUAACCGUAAAUACUAAAUCCUAAAUCUUAAACCCUAAACUAUAAAUCUUAAAUCCUAAACCCUAAACCCUACACCCUAAACUCUAAACCCUAAACCUAAAACCCAAGACCAUAAACAUUAAUCUGUAAACCCUAAACCCUAAACGCUAAACCCAAAGCCCAAAACCUUACAUCCUAAAGCAUAAAUUCUAUAGCAUAAAACCUAAACCCUAAACCCUAAACCCUACAUCCUAUACCAUAAAUCCUAAAGCUUAAACCCUAAACCCUUAACACAAAACUCGUAACCCUUAAGUCGAGACACUAAACACUAAAUCCUAAACUGUAAACCCUAAACCAUAACCCUAAACCCUAAACCAUAAACCAUAAACUAUAAACCCUACACCAUAACCCUAAAACCUAAACCUUAUACCCUAACCCCUAACCCCUAAACCCAAAACCUACAACCCUACAACCCAUACCCGAAACCCUAAACCUAAACCCUAAACCAGAAACCUUAAAAACAAAAACCCUAAAAUCUAUACCCUAAAUCGUAAACCAUAAACCCUAAAUUCUAAACACUAAACCAUAAUCACUAAACCUAAAUCCUAAACCCUAAUUCCUAAAAUGUUAAACCUAAAUCCUAACCCUAACUCUAACCCUAAACCCUAAACGCUAAAUCGUAGAAAUUAAAUCUAAACCGAAACCCUAAACACAAACUGCAAACCUAAACCCUAAAUACUAAACUGAAAAACCCUAAACCCUAAAUUUUAAACUCAAAUCCCUAAACCAUAAACCCAAAACCAUAAACAAUAAAUCGUAAACUAUAAACCCUAAGCCCUAAACCCUAAACAAUAAACCCAAAACCCUAAACCCUAACCCUAAAUCGUAAAACCUAAAUCCUAAAUCCUAAAUCCUAAACCCUAAACCCUAAACCUUAAAUCAUCAACCCAAAACCCUUAACCCUUAACCCUAAAUCCCAAACUCUAAACACUAAAUCCGAAACUCUAAACACUAAGCCCUAAACCCUAAUCCCUACACCGUAAACCCUAAACCCUGAACCCAUAAACCCUAAACCUUAGACGCUAAGCCUUAAAUCAUAACCCAAACCCUUAACCCUUAACCCUAAAUCCCAAACUCUAAACACUAAAUCCGAAACUCUAAACACUAAGCCCUAAACCCUAAAUCCUAAACCCUACACCGUAAACCCUAAACCCUGAACCCAUAAACCCUAAACCUUAGACGCUAAGCCUUAAAUCAUAAACCCAAAACCCUUAACCCUUAACCAUUAACCUUAAAUCCCAAACUCUAAACCCUAAAUCUGAAACUCUAAACACUAAGCCCUAAACCCUAAUCCCUACACCGUAAACCCUAAACCCUAACACCUAAACCCUAAACCCAUAAACCCUAAACCCUAGAUGUUAAACCUUAAAUUCUAAACCUUAAAUUUUAAACCCUAAACCACUUAACCAAAAACCCUAAACCUUAAACACUAAACCCUAACCCUAAACACUAAAUCUUAAACACAAAACCCCAACCCCUAAUACCUAAACCCCUAAACCUAAAAUCCAAAACCCUAAACCCUAAACCUUAAACCCUAAAGCCUAAAGCCUAAAGCCUAAACCCUAAACCAUAAGCCGUAAACCCUAAACCCUACACUCCAAAACCUAAACCAUAAUCCCUAAACCCUAAAUUUUAAAACUUAAACCCUAAACCGUACAACCUAAACCUAACCAUAAACCCUAUACCUAAACUAUAAAUCCUAAACCCUAAAUACUAAACUGAAAACCUUAAACACUAAAACCUAAUAUCAAACCUCUAAACCAUAAACCCUAAACCCUAAACUCUAAACCCUAAACAAUAAACCCAAAACCCUGAACCCUAACCCUAAACCCUAAAUACUAAAUCCUAAGCCCUAAACCUUCAAUCAAAAACCCUAAAUACUUAACCCUAAACCUUAUAUCCCAAACUCUAAACCCUAAAUCCCAAACUCAAAACACUAAGCCUUAAACCCAAAACCCUAAACCCUAUAUCAUAAACCCUAAAUUCUAAACCCUAAACCGUAAACCAUACAACCUAAACAUAACCCUAAACCCUAAACCUAAACCGCAAAUCCUAAACCCUAAAUACUAAACUGAAAACCCUAAACCAUAAAUCCUAAACUCAAAUCCCUAAACCAUAAAAGCUAAACUGUAAACUCUAAACCCUAAACCCUAAACCUUAAAUAAUAAACCCAAAACCCUAAACCUCAACCCCUAAACACUAAAUCCUAAAUCCUAAACCCUAAAUCCCAAACUCUAAACCCUAAAUCCCAAACCCUAAGCCCUAAACCCUAAACCCUAAACCCUAAACCCUAAACCCUAAACCCUAAACCCUAAACUUUAACCCUCAACCGAUAAACCCUAAACCUUAAACUCUAAACCCUAAAUUUUAAACACUAAACUACUUAACCAAAAUGCCUAAGCCUUCAACCUUAAUCCCUAAACCCUAACCUAAAACCCUAAACCUUAAACCUAAACCCCCAACACCUAACCCUAAACCCUAAACCCCUAAACCCCUGAACCUAAAAUUUGAAACCCUAAACCUAAAACCUAAACACUAAGUACUAAACCCUAAACCCUAAACCCUACACUGUAAAUCCUAAACCCUAAACCCUAAGCUCUAAACCCUAAUCCAUAAACCCUACAUCGUAAAUCCCAAACCCUAAACCCUAAACUCUAACCCUAAACCCUAAGCACAAACUGCAAACCUAAACCCUAAAUACUAAACUAAAAACCCUAAACCCAAAAUCCUAAACUCAAAUCCCUAAACCAUAAACCCAAAACCAUAAACACUAAAUCGUAAACUCUAAACCCUAAACCCUAAACAAUAAACCCAAAACCCUAAACCCUAAAACCUAAAUACUUAAUCCUAAAUCCUAAACCCUAAAACCUAAACCUUAAAUCAUAAACCCUAAACCCUUAACCCUAAACCCUAAAUCCCAAACUCUAAACCCUAAAUCCCAAUCUCUAAACACUAAGCCCUAAAUCCUAAACCCUAAACUCGACAGCGUAAACCCUAAACCCAAACCCCUAAACCCUAAACCCAUAAACCCUAAACCAUAGACGCUAAACCUUAAAUUCUAAACCCUAAAUUUUAAACCCUAAACCCCUUAACCAAAAACCCUAAACCUUAAACCCUAAACCCUAACCCUAAACCUUAACCCUAAACCCUAAAUCUUAAACACAAAACCCCAACCCCUAAACCCUAAACCCCUAAACCUAAAAUCCAAAACACUAAACCCUAAAACCUAAACCAUAAACCCUAAACCCUAAACCCCUAAACCCUAAACCCUAACACCUAAACCCUAAACCCUUAACCCUAAACCCCAAACCUUAAACCCAAACCUCCAACUCCUAAAUCCAAAAUCUAAAACCCUAAACCCUAAACCCUAAACCCUAAACCAUAAAUCCUGAGAAUCCUAAGGUCAAAACCAAGCAAGGAAAGAUGGGUGUGAUAUUUAAGGAGUAGGAUUUUAUGAUAAAUUGGGCUACAGAUUGCAGGUUCACCCCUAUCGGGAAAUUCAGUAAUGCAAUGCCUGAGAUGGAGCUGCUCAUAAAGAGUUUAAUAACUCAAUCUCAAUUAUCUAGAGGAGCCAAGAUAGCUCACUACAAUUCUAGGCAUGUCUAUAUUGAUAUUGACAAUGAAUUGGAUUAUAUUACUAUUUGGACAAAGCAAAAAAUGACCAUAGAGGGUCAGCUUAUGAGGAUCCAAACCUGGACUCCCACCUUCAAACCGAAAGAGGAAACCCCCUUUCUACUAAUAUGGGUAUCCCUGCCAGGGUUACCAUGGCAUUGCUAUAAGAAAGAAAUCAUAACUGCUCUCUUGUCUCCUAUUGGGAAGGUUCUUUACCUUGACAAUGCAUCAACCCAAAAAACAAGAGGUAGUUUGGCCAGGGUAAGAAUCCAGAUUGACCUUACCAAAGAAAAGCAGCAACAUAUUUGGUUUGGUUAUGAUGACAAAGAUUUGAUUAGAGGAAAGUGGCAAGCCAUUUAAUAUGACAGCAUACCAGACUAUUGUAAUUACUGUAAACAUCAAGGGCACAUGAUACAAGCAUGUACAAUAAAACAAAGGGAUGAGGUGUCACGACCCAAGCCUAGGGCCCAGACGUGACCGGCGAAUGGGGAACCCAAAGGAACCCCAAACACGCCUCAUAGCAUAUCAUUACACAUCCUUGGUCGCAGAAGCAAUUAAAAUGACCAUAAGCGAUAAACAUAAUCAAAGGGGGAAAUCGGGACUAAGGGAGCAAGAAAAAAAGAAGAAGAAAUGAUACAUAUAUACCAUAGAUGAGUCAAGCUCAAGCAUAAUACACAACUUGUCCAACACCACCUCUAAACAUAGGUACUUUAGCGGGGGCCAAGACAAACAACUGGGCUCACCCUCAUAGUCAAAACAUAACUAAAAGGAAAAGUCUUAUACAUAGCAAAAGAUCAUAAGCAACGUCCCCGGAAUGGAGGACUCACCAAUAACCUUGAUGGAAAAUCGUAUUAGCCACGCGGAGGACGAGGGUCAAGCGGUGCUCCGGUCCCUACAUGGUGAUAUCAUGUAGGCAUAGAGUAUGCGUUAGUACGUUUGAAUGUACUAAGUAUACCGGAUGCAAUGCAAUGCAACAAGGGAUGGACAUCAUAGGCAAAAUGCAUAAUCGUACCCGAUAGAUAGCAUAUUAAUGAGAUGAUAUGUAUAAUGAUAC
rnacentral:lncRNA from 1 species